rnacentral:rRNA from 1 species
UACGAAGGGGGCUAGCGUUGCUCGGAAUCACUGGGCGUAAAGGGCGCGUAGGCGGAUCUUUAAGUCGGGGGUGAAAGCCCAGGGCUCAACCCUGGAAUUGCCUUCGAUACUGAAGAUCUCGAGACCGGAAGAGGUAAGUGGAACUGCGAGUGUAGAGGUGAAAUUCGUAGAUAUUCGGAGGAACACCAGUGGCGAAGGCGGCUCACUGGUCCAUUACUGACGCUGAGGUGCGAAAGCGUGGGGAGCAAACAGG